GCCCUUUUAGUUAUUCAGUGGGUUAGAAUGUGGUGUUGAUAAUGCCAAGGCUGCAGGUUCGAUCCCCGUAUGGGGUU